UACAGAGGUCUCAAGCGUUUGUUCGGAUUCAUUGGGCGUAAAGGGUGCGUAGGCGGCGCGGUAAGUCGGGUGUGAAAUCUUGGAGCUUAACUCCGAAACUGCAUUCGAUACUGCCGUGCUUGAGGACUGGAGAGGAGACUGGAAUUUACGGUGUAGCGGUGAAAUGCGUAGAUAUCGUAAGGAAGACCAGUGGCGAAGGCGGGUCUCUGGACAGUUCCUGACGCUGAGGCACGAAGGCCCAGGGGAGCAAACGGG
rnacentral:rRNA from 1 species